UAACGCCUGUUGAGUCCGUGAUGCGGGUUGAAGUAAUUUGGCCAACACAUAUUAAGCGGGAGCUUAACUCCGGCUAUCCCUGGGGAACGCCGGGAGAGCACCCACCUGGGAGACCAGGCCUCAAAUUCUCUUCCUGCACACGGCUCAAACGGGUUUAAA
rnacentral:other from 1 species